rnacentral:misc_RNA from 1 species
UUUAAAAUCUCGAAAUAUUAGCUGCAUCAACAGAUUGCAAAUCCUAAGCAAAUAACCAGGUGAAAGAAGACCAAUAAAAUACAGAAAGCACCUAACGGCAAUAGCUCAAGAAAAAAAUGUACAGGCGUCGUGCCUGAACCUCGUAAAUAAAAGAAAAUUGAACGAAGCAGGAAUUUCCAUCAUGAGCAUAAUUAACCAGAUUGAUGCAGGUAAUCUGGUUUAAAUUCUUCCCAUUGAGUGCAUCUUAAAUAUAGAAUGAACUGUUCACGUAAUUACCUAAAUUGUUUCCAACAUUACCAACUGAU